CUUGAAUUUAGAAUGUUGCAAUACUAAACUAAAAGAAGAAAUAUCUGCAAAAAUGUGAUCAAAGACAUGUGUACCAAAGAAACAGCUUCUGAGAAAAAGAACAACAGACCGUGAUCCAGAGAAAAGCGAAUCUUGCCAGUGGGAAGAGGCAAAUUUCUAUCGUUUCUUCUAAGUUAUUUUCCAAGACAGCAUUUUACACUCAGCCCAGUUCAAUAGAAAGAUGAUUUCAAUGAUUUCUACAUUUCAAUAUACUGAGAUCAGAGAAAAC
rnacentral:lncRNA from 1 species